UGACAUGAACUAACAUUUUUCGAGUUGACAUCCCUCAAGAUAAAUGAUGCCAGGAGGCGUCUGUGCAAACAUCCUGACCCGCAGCUUGUUGUGAGUCUUGCUUGUUCCCGGUGCCUUCGCCACACUGCUUGGCCUGCUCCCAAGAAUGAAUGGCUAAUCUGUUCUACUUGCUCCUGUACCCAGGCAACUCACUCAACACCAGGCUCACAGAGGGUCUUCGGAGAUUGUUGCUCCAAGGGUGAGCAAGUGCAUGAGGUACUUUGCCGCAGCAUUGAGAGGAAAGCAACCAUUUCGCUUCUCUAUCUUGAUUGGCUUCCAGGUUCUAAACAGAAGCCCCACAUACUGGAGAAACCUUGGGAGGCAGGCUAGGAAGAGGAGCAUUUGGCUGUAGCCAUCUCCAACCCAAGUCAUCUUCAGCCCCCACCCCAUUCUCAGCUUUGGGCAGCAGGAGAUCUCUCUCGAGCUAGUGGGGCAGUAUGAAUGGAAAUAUAUCUUUUCUGUUGUUUAAUUUUGAGAUUGUGUUGAUCACAACAUCUCUCCCUUCCCUUUCCUCCCUCUGAGCCUUUCCAUGUACCCCUCCCUGCUCUCCUUCAAAUUCAUAGCCUCUUUUUUUUAAAAAACAAUCAGUUGGUACUGCCUACAUAUGUGUAUUUGUAUAUACACACAUAUUCCCAAAUAUAACCUGUUGUGCAAGGCUAUAUUUUUUUAAAAAAUCAUUUAUUAUGUAUACAGCAUUCUACCUGCAUGUAUCUCUGCAGGCCAGAAGAGGGCAUCAGAUCCCUCUGUAGAUGGUUGUGAACCACCAUGUGGAUGCUAGGAAUUGAACUCAGGUCCUCAGCCAGUGCUCCUAAAGGGUUUUUGCAUUGUGUGACCAAAUACC
rnacentral:lncRNA from 1 species